GAGGAGUGAUUUGGCUUGCGAGAGCCGGUUGCCCGAUCUUGUGUCAUGUGCCCGGAGCGGCUCGUCCGGAGACGGCGGAGCUGGGACGGGGCUGUAACUUCGGCGGAAGUGGCAGGCGGUGUGGACCGACCUGCCCGCCGCCGGCGGUAAUGUACGCUUUGUUGAAAAGGUGAAGUCUGAUUUGUACGGAAAUAGAAAAAGCA
rnacentral:misc_RNA from 1 species